rnacentral:lncRNA from 1 species
ACUCUGUUAUCGCAGCCACCACCCCAACUCUCAUACACUGGCCUUCCAUAGCACCAAUCAUACUGCCUCUCUCGCCCGUAGCCAAGCUGGUAACACGGUCCCCCACCACGCCCCUCAGAACAUUCCGUGCAACAUGCCCUAACAGGUGAGUAACACGGUCCACCACCACGCCCCUCGGAACAUUCCCUGCAACAUGCCCUAACAGGUGAGUAACACGGUCCCCCACCACGCCCCUCGGAACAUUCCCUGCAACAUGUCCUAAUUGGUGAGUAACACGGUCCCCCACCACGCCCCUCGGAACAUUCCCUGCAACAUGUCCUAACGGGUAGGUAACACGGAACGGGCUCCGGAGCCGGUGCCGGUGCCGGAGGCGGCGGUGGGGCUGGUGAUGGUUUUGGUUGGGGAGCCGGUGCCGGGGGUGGUGGCGAUGGUGAAGGUUUCGGUGGUGGUGGUGACGGUUUUGGUUCCGGAGCCGGUGCCGGCGGUGGUUUUGGUUUUGGCGGCGGCGGCGGCUUUGGCUUUGGUGGUUCCAGGAUUUCAAUAGUCUUGAUUGAACCAUCACCUUUGCAGCAUAGCUUGUCCCUGAUCUUUUCAGGACUGCAGCACACUACUUUUAUUGUCACCGUAUUCGUCUUCUCAUCGAAAAACUGUUCUUGUAUUUCUUUGGUCAAAAAGUUCAAACACAAUAUCUUAGCCCACCAUCCGCCAGCCAUUUUUUUAUUUGCAAACACAAAAUAAACAAUUCUACUUGCGCCUCACCAAAUGACACGCGAAUUCAGAAUUUUAUGCCAUUAUAAAACAUUUUACGAAACCAUAAUAUAUAAUAUAUGUAAAUGGACAUGGCCAGCGAUCAGAGAGACACUUACGUGGGAAUUUGCACAGUACUUUCUUGACUUUCUUGUAGCACUUUGAGCACUGAAGGUUAACCUUCAGCACCAUUAUUGUAACCUUCUGUAAACAAUAGUACACAGAUAAUACAAAAGUAUUUUUCAGCAGGCUAAUUAAUUAAAGAUAAAAGAGAGACAUUUAAUUAAUUUCUGACAUGAAAGAAUCAGCAAGGUAACUAUAUAUCUCCGUGUAUAUAUACACUAUAAGCUAUCAUCACGAAAGAUCGAUCGAUGCACAGCACAAACUUAACCAAAAGGGGAAUUACGAACCUUCUCUCCCAUAGCUGCUCGGAUCUGAACCUCAGGAAACCGGACACUGAUUAUUUGAAGCGUUAAUGUGACAGCAGGUAUGGAAAAGGGUCUUAUAAAUAAGUGCGCCAAUUUGAAACUUGUUUAAGAAGGGAAGGAAAAGUAAGGGCUUGAAUUCCGUACAUUAUACAUAACCAAUUAUCUGCCGACACGUCUUAUUGGAUGACGUCGAAUUUCAUGAUAUCAUCAAGGUUGUCGUUAUCUCCGUACAUAGUAAGUCUUUCUUCACAUUUAUGUAUGAUUGCUGACUCACCCAUUCUCCAUUGCAUUUGCAUGUGCUGCCUUUUGAUUGAUUGCCCUUUUCUCUGUUUUUCUUUUUUUUUUUUUGCUUUGCUUUUUUUUUUUCUUUUAUGUCUAAAGGAAAAUUUUUUGUCUUUCUCAUUUGAGCAAUAGUCAUAUUUCUUUACCUAAUUGAAAAUUAAAAAUAAAAAUAAAUAAGGGAAAAUGGACUUUAAUUGAACAACUGAUGUGAGAUCUAGGUAUAGAAAUUUACAUUCACCAACUCUUCCUAACCGUCAAAUUUGAUGCAUUUUUCGAACCCAGCACCUUGUGCCAUGGAUCGAGCAUUCAUUCUACAAACAGAGUAAUUGAUGAAAUAAUUUAAUCGAGCUAUUGGAAGUUUCACCAACCUAAAGUAAUCAUUGUCCUUAACCCAUAAACAAAGGGCCCAAUGAUCAAUUAAUAUAAGCUUUUGGAAGUUCAACCAAUCCCCGUAAGUAUACCUCCAACACUAAGGUAGCUAUUAUGGGCUUGUGGGACCCGCAUACUUAAUGCCUAAGUUAAGUGUCACAUCACUAAUUUAAUUUUAGAUUGGCCACACUCCAAGUAAUUAAAAAAGAUAAUGUUAUUAGUUUACCAGAAGCAGUUGUGACGCCUUGGCACCCACCUCCGCUUGGCCAUUUUAAAUUAAAUGUUGAUGCAGUCAUGGGGGAUGGUGGUGUGGGGGCCGUCGAUGGGUUAUCGGUUGCAAUUGAGGCAGGACUGACAUUGUUCAGAGAUUAUUUAAUUUUUAGCUUCGUGGUUUAUGUUGUCCAACGCUAUCUCACCAUUGUUAUUUAAGAUUAUUUUCUGAAACAUUAUCUCACCCAUAUUAUUGUUCAAAAAGAAAUUAAAGUAAAAAGCAGAUGGCCAAUUUAUCUCUUGUAUCAAUUCUUCUAUUCCUCUUCUUCAUUUAUGGUAAAAAUAACCAUUUUUCUUAAGUGUUUUAUGUAGCAUUUUUGUACUUAAUUUAUGCAAUGCUAUAAAAGAUCAAAUUUGAAUUUUAAAGAAUUAUUAUUAUUAUUAUUAUUAUUAUUAUUAUUAUUAUUAUUAUUUAUCAGGAACUGGGAAGAUAAUUGCCGAGACUCAGGAGAUAGAGCUCUGCAAGACAGCUAUUAUGUCCCAAAAAGAAUUUUGCUUUUGAAGCAUCACUUUCCCAAAAAGAAAUUCCAAAAAUUAUGUCUAAUUAAAAUCUUUUAGAAUCUCCCCAAGGUUUGAUUGCAUGGUUUUUAAACAGUUAUAAGCAGUUUUCAAGAAAUUGUUUUUUAUUAGUACUGAUUUGAACCUUAAGGAAGUUUGAGUUAAAAAAAUUGAUUUGGACUUAAUGGACUCCCUUAUCUUUAAAAGAAAAUGUAUCCUGCAGAAUUCGAAAGAAAUAAUUAAAAAAAAAUAAAACAAUGGAAUAAUUCAGAAAGAGAAAAUAAGAAGCACAUGUAAAAAGUAUUUUUCUAAUGAAUUUAUUUCAAUUUUUUGAUUUUAUAAAUAAAAACUCAAGGGUGAAAAAUUUUAAUGAGUAACGGUCGUUAAUGAAAAAUUUUAAUGAGUAAGGGUUGUUAUAUAUUUAACGAUGAAAUUAAAAGAAAAUAGUGUAAAUGAAAAAAAAAAAUAACAGAAGCGAUGAGAGUGAUUCUGAGAAGAGUUAGAGAUUAUUGUGGGUUGUCUAUGGUAUAGAGUAGGAAGAUUAAGUUAAAUAAAUUAGUUUGAUUUAUCUAAAUAAAUUAUUUCAUUAUAAAAUAGAAUUUACUCAUUGGUAAAGUACUGUAUAGAUGUUUUGGUUUUAUAUAAAUUUAUUAGAAGAGAUGAAUAUAAGGAGUAUUUUUAUCGAAUUCAAAAAGCUCAUAACUUUUCACUUGUAAUCAAUUUUUCUACCAUAAAUUUUUGUAUGAUUUUGGUCCCUAUGGGUAGAAGAAUUUAAAGGGGGCCAAAAUCAUAGAGGUAAACGUUUAGGGGUCAAAGUCUAAAAAGAGUAAAUUAUUUUGGUAAAAUGUCAAGAUAAAUUAAAGUUUCAGAGCCACCUCCCGCCUUUUUUUCAUUUAGCAAAAUAAUACUUUCAUGUAUUAUGCCGAGGUAGAUGUGAUGGACCUUUUUAAUAUUUAAAUUUUAUGAUAAAUAAUGAUGUGUCAUUUAUAAGAGAAAUUUUAUAAUAUAUUAGAGGUAGUACAUCAACUAAUACAUGUAUGACAUGUAUAUAUAGACUUGAUAUAACCUUUAUUUGCAUAAUAAUUUUUUAAAAUAAAUGUACAUAUAUUAUAAUAUAACUUGUUUAUUGUAUACCUGAUAUGAUACAUCUGAUUUAUUUUAGAAUUUUUCAUGUGAUUAAAAUUUUUUAUAAAGUUCUAAAUAAAUUAUUUUAUACCUGACAUUACUAUUGAAGAAUAUAUUGACAGAUAUUGUGGAAUAUUUAUAUGUAACUUAUUAGAAUUUAUACAAAAAUUGCAUAUAAAAUUACGAGAGCUUCUGUUCACUUUAAAUUAAUCAAUCUAACAAGAAUUUAAUUAAGGCUUCAUGCAUAUAACAAAGGCGAAGUGUAAGUUGUAAAAAGGCCAAAAAAAAAAUGUAUUGACAAUUUUCCAUUCUAGAUUCUAAAUUUCAAUAAACAUCUAAUUUAUCAACAAGCAUGUUCGUUCUUUUUAUGAUUGAAUGUUGAAAUAAACAGUGUAAGAUCCAUCUCUUAUGCUUGGUAAUGGCACCAAAAGAAAACUCCUCUUUGCUCCCUUUGCAACAAAGCGGAUAGGAUGAUAAUUCUUUUUCCAUUGCGAAGCAAACUACACUGUUAUAUCCAAACUCUGUUGACACUGAAUUGCAACUGACCUUCAUGCUUUCGCCCGAUUUCAAGUUAACACUAGUAGAAACGAAGCAACCCUUUUGGGUUACUGACUCCAAGGCUACUGUUUCAGCCUUUCCAUCCCAUCCGGUAACAAGGCGAAAAAUGGAGGAGCCAUGAACACUAGAAGAGUCUGCGACAACAAGUUCAUCAUCUGUUCCUUGCACUACAAGCAUUCCUGGGGAAGCAAAUAGUUCUAGCAUGACUGAUCUGCCAAUUGCAUCGCUGAGGGAUGAAAAUUCGGAGGAAGGUUUAUCGUUUAAGAUGAAUCUUAAAGUGGCUUGAAGGGCAAUGUCAGUGCCAGAUUUAGGGGAUUCUGCCAUUGGAAUAGAUUGUCAAGACAAAAGUCGAGUUUCUGGAAACUUUGGAAAAUGUGACCAGCUGAAAUUAUAUGAUGCAGGAAUUGGAGCAACAACUUCUGAAAGAGAUGUUGCUGAUUCAGUCCUGAUAUCGGAGUCCCCAUUGCUGUAGCUCGUAGGCAGAUAAGACCGUGGUGAAUGGCCGAUCAGCUGAAGAAGAAAAAAGAUUUUCAGUCAAAGAUUUUUCAUUGAUAACAGAAAUUGUAAACAAAACAGUUCAUGAAGAUUCCAUCGAUAGGCUCUGUCCUUAGAAUAAGGGGCAGCUGAAUGGUUAAUUUGUCAUCAUAUGUCCAUGCUGUGGUGAUACUUGGAAAUUUCGUGCAUCGGGAAUGUAACUGUUUGUUACAUGUCUUUAUAAAAGAUGAAACCCCACUUUUAAUUUUUCUAUCUGAAAUAAAAAAUUGAAAAACAAUCAAAGAUAUUAUAAUUCAGCACCUGCCGAUGGUAGAGGCAAAUCCUGGCCAUUUAAUGUUGCCUUUGCUCCAUUAGUAUUUGUCCACCUCGAUAUUCUGAAACCAAAGGAUAGUGAUCGAGCUGCUCCCUGGAUAUACAUCAAAUCCAGAAUGUGUGAUGGAUGAACUUCUCAUUACAAUGUUAAAAAAUAAACACCAAGUUUGAUAGCCAGUACCUUAGGAAGAAAUGUGAAUGUGAUAUGACGAUAAGGAUCUGAAGAAACAACAGGAUCAACUUUCUGGUUGGGCAGAAUAUGUCCAGAUUUCCAAUCAAGUGAGCUCGAUAUGUACCGAAUGAUGUAAAGACCAGGAUAUAAUCCUUCCUCUUCAAAGUAAAUUGAAUAUCCCAACUUUGCGAAUGACUUAAUUCCUCCAUGGGAAACAAGAAUAAAAUCUAGUAUACCAAUUGGCGGAAACUGUGCAAAUUUAGAAAGCAACUCAUGAGAUUCAAGAACAUUGAGAGUAAAGAGAAAAAAUGGGCAAUGAAUACCAGACAUGUGCCAUAACAGCACCAGAAUGAAUUUAAUUAAUGCGUAAACAAAUUUUAUUCAACUUUAUUUCUAAUCCAGUCAUUAACAUUCUUAUAGCAAUUUAACUCUAAGAUUUACCUAACACAUACGACUACUUUUAAAACUCACGACACUUUUUAAAAUAAAUUUUACUAAAUGUUUAAUUGAUUCUCUUUACAGUUGAAUAUAUUUAUAAUACAGCUAACAAUAAUUAUUUUAAAAAAUACAUCAUUACCAAAUAGGCCGCCAAUAAUUGGAAAACUAAUUGUAGCAUUAACAAACUCUACAUUCACCAACCUUUAUUUAUCUUUGAUUUUCCUAUAGAGUCUAUAUUACCCAAAAUGUUAAAGAUUAAACCAGCAUACAAGAAGCAACUAGAAGAAAGUAAACGAUAUGAUCACUGACGAUUACCAUUCAUGAUCAUUGAUUUAUGAGAUUGUGCAAGACAGUGGUGGAUUUCCUUCACAGGUGGAAUCUAACGACCACGGGUGCAAAUGAACAGCGACCACAAGUGCAAUAUGAACAGCGACCACAAGUGCAAUCUGACCAGCGACCUCUCCAAUAAACUCUAUUAUGGCAGCUACCACCCCAGCUCUCAUACACUAGUCUUGCAUAGAUCACAAUGCCUCUCUUGCCCCAAGCCAAGCUGGUGACACGGUCCCCAACCAUGACCCUCAGAACAUUGCUUGCAACAUACCCUAACCGAUGUGUAACACGGCACUGGCACCAGGGGUGGUAGUGGUGGUUUUGGGUUUUCCCCAUCCGGUUGUGGCGGGUUUUUUUUUAUCCCCAUCCGGUUGUGGUGGUUUUUUGUUAUCCCCAUUCGGUUGUGGCGGGUUUUUUUUAUCCCCAUCCGGUUGUGGCGGUUUUUUGUUAUCCCCAUCCAGUUGUGGUGGUCUAGGGUUAGGCUUUUUAUCAGGUUCCAGGAUUUCAAUAGUCUUGAUUGAACCAUCACCUUUGCAGCAUAGCUUGUCCCUGGUCUUUCAGGACUGCAGCACACUACUUUUAUUGUCA